GACGAACGCUGGCGGCGUGCCUAAUACAUGCAAGUCGAACGCACAGUUUAUACCGUAGCUUGCUACACCAUAGACUGUGAGUUGCGAACGGGUGAGUAACGCGUAGGUAACCUGCCUGGUAGCGGGGGAUAACUAUUGGAAACGAUAGCUAAUACCGCAUAAUAUUAAUUAUUGCAUGAUAAUUAAUUGAAAGGUGCAAUUGCACCACUACCAGAUGGACCUGCGUUGUAUUAGCUAGUAGGUGAGGUAACGGCUCACCUAGGCGACGAUACACAGCCGACCUGGGAGGGUGAUCGGCCACACUGGGACUGAGACACGGCCCAGAACCCUACGGGAGGCAGCAGUAGGGAAUCUUCGGCAAUGGACGAAAGGCUGGCCGAGCAACGCCGCGUGAGGGAAGGAGGUUUUCGGAUCGGAAAGCUCUUUUGUAAGAGAAGAACGGGUGUGAGAGUGGAAAGUUCACACUGUGACGGUAUCUUACCAGAAAGGGACGGCUAACUACGUG
rnacentral:rRNA from 1 species